AAAACCCAGUCUGAUCUGUUGGUUGGAACAAGAGGAAGAGUUGAGGACAGUGGAGAGAGGAGUCUUCCAAGAAUCAGAAAUGCAUCUUAAAACCAGAGACUCAGCAGUUCCUCCACAGGAUAUUUUAGGGGAAAAAACUUCCAAUAGGAUAGAAAUGCAUCAGAGUGCAAGCAACGGAAGAGUUUAGAAAAGGUGAGAUUUUGCCUACUCUUGGACACACCCUGAUUUCAUAUUGCUGUGGAAGAAUAACCACCUUAGCACCUUGGUAGGACGUCUGACCUUAGGCUGUGCAGGAAGAAGGGGAGAACAAUGAACGUUCUCUUUCACCCCUGUAUCCAGCACCAUGGCCUGGCAUAACAAUCAUGUCAUCUUUGCAGCUCAGGCAACAGCUGCUGCUGGUGGUAUGACC